GCGGCGAGUAGGCCUUCGGCCGUACUCGGCAAUCUUCGUAGCCAAUCAGGUUGCCGCUCGCCGCCCGUAAUCUCAGUAAUCUCGAAGAUGGUUCGGCUCCUACACCUACACCACCCUACCCUACCCACCCUACAUUUUUCAAAUUUUGGCUGGCAUUGGCAUUCGGCCUGAUUCUCCCUUCCUCUUUUCCGUAAUUAAUAACAAUAAAAAAUUCAUUUAGUCAUUGUUUAGCGGCACCUUGUCCAAUUUGUGCCUAGAGCCUACAACUAGGCAAGUUUGGACGUUACCUUUUGAACAUUUCAUCCCUUCCCUUUGAAUACUCUUCACAUAUCACAUGGGACCUUUAUCUGCAUAUUUACUUGGCUUUUUUCGUAAAGGAUCUUUUAAGAAGUAAAUUCUCUCGAUAACUUAUUGGGGAUGGUCAAGUUACCAAUUAGAGCCAACCAUUCCAUGCCAUUAUUAUUACAGGACAAUGUUUCUUUCCUAUAAUUUGGUAGGCACCGUAAGAAUUAUACGUAACCUCAGUAUUUGAUCCGUGCCUUAAAAAAUGAGCCACUUGUGGCAGAACCAUCUUGGUGAUGUUCUAUAGGAAUUUUAACCUUAUUCUAUUUUUUCAGCAGACGAACCUCACAUGGUUACUUGUAAAGUCUUGCUUCAUUUUCCUUGAGUUCUACUUAGUUUAGUGCCAAACAACAAGAAAAUUCAUGGAGAAACAUGCCUUAAAGGUGAUAGUUCCCCCUCAUACUUACUGUCAGAGUUCCGAUGGAAAAAAUUUUGUUGUCAUAGGUAAAUACGGUUUCCAUUGUUUCUUCAGCUGCUAAUAGACAACUAUGCAGGUUUGCUGGAGAAUUUGGUGACUGCUAGGAUUGUUAAUUGGUAUCUCCGAAGUUUGGUUGUUAUAGCUACACUUGAAGCAUUGGCUUCAACGCAACGCAAAACCAGAACCUUGGAGAGACCAGAGAACAUCCAUAAGAAAGUAAGUGAGGAGCAAGGUAUACCUAUCAUUGUACAUCCAUCUAGUUUUCACAACUACCGUUACUGGAGAUUUAGGAUUCAGAUUUGCACAUCAACCAAUAAGUUUUUCGCCCCAUCAUCUUGAGAUAGAGGCUGCCAUGCAAGGCGCAGCCAGGUAGUCCAAUGCUCAUGCCACUCAAUCAACACAAAUAUUAUCCUAACUUACUACAAAAUGGCUUGUUUCUUCUCUAACAAUGGAACCGGAAAAUGUUACUUUAGACGCGCAGGAAACUUCUUUGGUCGAGAUGAAGAAAGAAACGUAAAUGAAGAAAUGAGUCCGGAACAUCUCGACCAGGUACAGGAGG